UUAUCCGAGUCAGGCUGUGAGCGCUUGAGGGAACUCUGUGUCGCUCCGUUCCACUCAUUCGUGAUGCUCCGUGGCGGUCUUUGUGUUUCCUUGUCACCAUCAAAGCUUGAUGGCUUAGCUUGUUUUGAAACUAUUAAAUUCGUUAAUGGAGAAGAAACAUAUCAGCUAACUGGCCAAAUCAAGUCUAAAAUCAGAUCCAAUUUGCACGUCAUUACAGUUGGAGUUCAUACAGUUUGCACAACUCGGUGAGACUUGGAAAUGCUUAUAGACGAUAUGCUAGCCAGAGGCAGUGAAAGGUACGUUUUCAAAUUUAGCCUCAACAUCAAGGAGUCUUAGGUUUGAGAGGAGACGUCGCCACAUAUGACCUCACGAAGCUCAGAAUCAAAGGUUAAAUUAGGUGAAGAAAUAGUUUUUCUCCAUUUUACAAAUAAGAGAGGUUUUAAUGACACAAGCAUUUUCAUUAUCAUACACUCUGCUAUGUGUAAUUGUUGAUUGAUUCGAUA